AUUGAACGCUGGCGGCGUGCCUAACACAUGCAAGUCGAGCGGUAGCAGGCGUAGCAAUACGUGCUGACGAGCGGCGAACGGGUGAGCAAUGCUUCGGAAUCUGCCCAAUGGUGGGGAAUAACCAGCCGAAAGGUUGGCUAAUACCGCAUACGCCCUACGGGGGAAAGCAGGGGAUCGCAAGACCUUGCGCCGAUGGAUGAGCCGAAGUCGGAUUAGCUAGUUGGUAGGGUAACGGCCUACCAAGGCGACGAUCCGUAGCUGGUCUGAGAGGACGACCAGCCACACUGGGACUGAGACACGGCCCAGACUCCUACGGGAGGCAGCAGUGGGGAAUAUUGGACAAUGGGCGAAAGCCUGAUCCAGCGACGCCGCGUGUGUGAGAAGGCCUGCGGGUUGUAAAGUACGUUUUAGUGGGGUAU
rnacentral:rRNA from 1 species